rnacentral:lncRNA from 1 species
AAUAAAACAGUUAUCUAAUGAGGGCUCAUUGACAGGUUCAAAUCUGUCAUAUGCUUCAAAGAAGAUCUCAUCAACUUGUCCUAGAAGAUCAAUGCCAGGCUUGAGUUCACUCUCUGGAUUAUCAGUUUCUGCCUCUGUUGAGACAAAUGCAAUGAAUUUGCCCUUUGGAGCAACAUUAUGAGUGUAACUCUCUGGAUUAUCAGUUUCUGUCUCUGUUGAGACAAAUGCAAUGAAUUUGCCCUUUGGAGCAACAUUAUGAGUGUAAGAACAACAAAACAGGUACCUGAAUAUCCAAAUAUUCAAGCAUGAGUAAGAAGAUCCCACUUAUUUCCAAAAUAUUAAGUUUGACAAACCAAAUCAGAAGAACAAACAUUUUCAAGGAUGAAUAGCUUCUGUAGGAUCAUAACAACAACAACCCCAGUGGAGUUCCACAAGUGGGGUCUAGCUUCUCUAGGAGCAUAAUAAGUAGAAAUAGUAGUGGCACUAAUGCCAAUCAGCAAUAAGAUCAUCUCUCAGACCUGCUAAUUUUCCUUUUCUUUCUGGUGAUCGAGAAAUCCGUCUAGUGCCAACCCUUAGGACCAACUUCUGCCUUCGAACUCGGGAAUAUUGGGCCCGCCACUCUACCCUUCUCCACUUAAAUAUCAGGCUUAGUUCGCAGGGCAGCUCGAACCUAUUACCUAAGUGGCAAGUCCCUCAACCUUUGCCACUUGAACUAAGCCUUAGGGGCUCUCGCGGAUCUACUAAUCAUUAAGUAUAAUGUUUAUGAUUCUUUGCAUUAGUUGUUUGUUCAAUGCUAAACCAGAACUCCCAAGCAAUAAUUCAUUGCUUGUAGAAUGUCUGUUGAUACAAUAACUAAUCGCAGCUCAGAUUUAUAAUCCAUGUUUCUACUACUCGAGGAAGCUGAUUACAGUUGGUAAAGAUCAACAAUGCACAAAAUCUGGUAUUCUCCACGUCUCUGACCAUCAUUCUAUGCAGUUCUGGACAUUGAAUAACAAAUACAAUAAAUACUUGAAAUCAACUAAACAAAUACGCUAGUGAUGUGCUGUCUAUCAAGAGUGUCUGCACAUUCAAAUUCCCAUCAAUAGUACCUAAAGAGAAUCCAAUUGCACAUAGAUAAUUUUGCAUUGAAAUUUGAAACCUAAGAAGCUGAAGAGCCAUUUCCAGGAUCCAUUUAUAAAUGAAUCAACCAUGUCCAGCUCAGCCAAAUUACCAUUUUACUUAUAAUGGCAAGAAAACAUACCGAUUCCAGCAACAAUCUGUGCAAAGAUGGAAUGGCAUUACAAGGGCAGAACAGUUAAGAAAAGGAAUGUGCCUAAUCCAACUAACUCCCUCGCUUCUUUUUCUUUUCUUUUCUUUUCUUUUUUU